rnacentral:rRNA from 1 species
GAGUUUGAUCGUGGCUCAGAUUGAACGCUGGCGGCAUGCCUUACACAUGCAAGUCGAACGGCAGCACGGGAGCUUGCUCCUGGUGGCGAGUGGCGAACGGGUGAGUAAUGCAUCGGAACGUAUCCUGGAGUGGGGGAUAACGUAGCGAAAGUUACGCUAAUACCGCAUAUUCUGUGAGCAGGAAAGCGGGGGACCUUCGGGCCUCGCGCUCUUGGAGCGGCCGAUGUCGGAUUAGCUAGUUGGUGAGGUAAAGGCUCACCAAGGCGACGAUCCGUAGCAGGUCUGAGAGGAUGAUCUGCCACACUGGAACUGAGACACGGUCCAGACUCCUACAGGAGGCAGCAGUGGGGAAUUUUGGACAAUGGGGGCAACCCUGAUCCAGCCAUGCCGCGUGAGUGAAGAAGGCCUCGGUU